rnacentral:rRNA from 1 species
UAGGGAAUCUUCCACAAUGGACGCAAGUCUGAUGGAGCAACGCCGCGUNAGUGAAGAAGGUUUUCGGACCGUAAAGCUCUGUUGUUGGUGAAGAAGGAUAGAGGUAGUAACUGGCCUUUAUUUGACGGUAAUCAACCAGAAAGUCACGGCUAACUACGUGCCAGCAGCCGCGGUAAUACGUAAGGUGGCAAGCGUUGUCCGGAUUUAUUGGGCGUAAAGCGAGCGCAGGCGGAAGAAUAAGUCUGAUGUGAAAGCCCUCGGCUUAACCGAGGAAUUGCAUCGGAAAC